UACGUAGGGUGCAAGCGUUGUCCGGAAUUAUUGGGCGUAAAGGGCUCGUAGGCGGUCCCUCGCGUCGGGAGUGAAAAGCUGGGGCUUAACCCCAGUCCUGCUUCCGAUACGGGUGGACUAGAGGUAGGCAGGGGAGAACGGAAUUCCUGGUGUAGCGGUGAAAUGCGCAGAUAUCAGGAGGAACACCGGUGGCGAAGGCGGUUCUCUGGGCCUUACCUGACGCUGAGGAGCGAAAGCGUGGGGAGCGAACAGG
rnacentral:rRNA from 1 species